UACGUAGGGGGCAAGCGUUGUCGGAAUUAUUGGGCGUAAAGAGCUCGUAGGCGGUUUGUCGCGUCUGCUGUGAAAACUGGAGGCUCAACCUCCAGCCUGCAGUGGGUACGGGCAAACUAGAGUGCGGUAGGGGAGAUUGGAAUUCCUGGUGUAGCGGUGGAAUGCGCAGAUAUCAGGAGGAACACCGAUGGCGAAGGCAGGUCUCUGGGCCACUACUGACGCUGAGAAGCGAAAGCAUGGGGAGCGAACAGG
rnacentral:rRNA from 1 species